GCAUAUCAAUAAGCGGAGGAAAAGAAAAUAACAAUGAUUCCCUUAGUAACGGCGAGUGAAGGGGGAUAAGCUCAAAUUUUAAAUCUGCUAGGUCUUACCUAUCAGAGUUGUAAUUUGAAGAAGCGUUUUCCGCGUCUCGGUUGACCCAAAUCCUUUGGGAUAUGGUAUCAUGGAGGGUGAGAAUCCCGUUCGGUUGACCUUAUGACGCUUUACGAUACGUUUUCAAAGAGUCGAGUUGUUUGGGAUUGCAGCUCAAAAUGGGAGGUAAAUUUCUCCUAAGGCUAAAUAUUGGCGAGAGACCGAUAGCGAACAAGUACCGUGAGGGAAAGAUGAAAAGAACUUUGAAAAGAGAGUAAAAUAGUACGUGAAAUUGUUGAAAGGGAAAUGAUUGAAGUCAGUCGUACCGACGGAAAAUCAGCUUUUCGAGUGCGGACUUGUGGGUUUACGUGAGCUUUACGGCCUCGUUGUUUGCAAUGUUCGUUCUUUUUGGGUGUACUUUUUCGUAUGGUUGGCCAAUAUCAGUUUCGAUCGCCAUAAAAUGACCGGCGGAAUGUAGCUUCGAUCUCGUAUUGAAGUGUUAUAGCCUCUGGUAGAUGUGGUGAUUGGGACUGAGGAUUGCAACGAAUACCUUUUUGGGCUAUCCGUCUGAUCUCUGAAAGUUGCUUAGGUGCCGAAAGCGUGCUUACGGUUAUUUAAGUUGACGGUCAAAAGGUUAGAACGUGAUUAUAUUCGUUAAGGAUGUUGACGUA
rnacentral:rRNA from 1 species